GACGAACGCUGGCGGCGUGCUUAACACAUGCAAGUCGAACGGAAAGGCCCUGCUUGCAGGGUACUCGAGUGGCGAACGGGUGAGUAACACGUGGGUGAUCUGCCCUGCACUUCGGGAUAAGCCUGGGAAACUGGGUCUAAUACCGGAUAGGAGCCAUUUUUAGUGUGAUGGUUGGAAAGUUUUUUCGGUGUAGGAUGAGCUCGCGGCCUAUCAGCUUGUUGGUGGGGUAAUGGCCUACCAAGGCGGCGACGGGUAGCCGGCCUGAGAGGGUGGACGGCCACAUUGGGACUGAGAUACGGCCCAGACUCCUACGGGAGGCAGCAGUGGGGAAUAUUGCACAAUGGGCGCAAGCCUGAUGCAGCGGCGCCGCGUGGGGGAUGACGGCCUUCGUGUUGUAAACUCCUUUCGCUAGGGACGAAGCUUUUGUGACGGUACCUAGAUAAGAAGCACCGGCUAACUACGUG
rnacentral:rRNA from 1 species